CUUUGACCUGAACGUCACCCCUAACCCUAUGCAGUAUUUGGAGCUCAUAAAAUACUGGAAGUGUUUAGGAGUAAUGCUCAGUUGUCAGAA
ensembl:miRNA mir-1823 miscRNA